AUUCUUCUCUUCAGCCUUAUAAUGCCUUCCUCUCUGCAGUAAAAUGGAUCAUGACAGAACUUGUCUUGUUCCUGGUGGAAUUUAACCUCUGCAGUUGGUGGCACUCCGAUAUGACAGCUAAAGCCCAGAAAUUGAAACAGACCCUGGAGCCUUGUGAUACUGAAUAUCCAGCAUUCGUCUCUGAGCGCACCAUCAAGGAGACUACAGGGAAUAUUGCUUGUGAAGACUGCUCCAAGUCCUUUGUCAUCCAGCAAAUCCCAAGCAGCAACCUGUUCAUGGUGGUGGUGGACAGCAGCUGCCUCUGUGAAUCUGUGGCCCCCAUCACCAUGGCACCCAUUGAAAUCAGGUAUAUCCUUUUGUGUGCAGGUCCACUCACUACCACGGAAACCAGUAAGGGGUAUGAGUGGUAAGGAAACCUGGGGGAGAAAUAUUAGAGAAGGAAAAUUACAUCCUUUCCACUGUUGGAGAGAGAGAGUAGUUAAGAGAGUUGUCAUUGCCAAAUUUUGACCUCUGAAAUGCAGAGUAGAAAAAAGCAAUCCUUGGAAACAUGCCUUAACUACAGUCAACAUAAUGAAUCCCUUAAGUGUGAACGUCUAAAGGCCCAGAAGAUCAGAAGGCGCCCAGAAUCUUGUCAUGGCUUCCAUCCUGAGGAGAAUGCAAGGGAGUGUGGGGGUGCACCGAGUCUCGAAGCCCAGACAGUCCUCCUUCUGCUCCCUCUGCUUUUGAUGCUCUUCUCAAGG
rnacentral:sRNA from 1 species